rnacentral:rRNA from 1 species
CCCUUAGAUGUUCUGGGCCGCACGCGCGCUACACUGAUGAAUUCAACGAGUUUAUAACCUUGGUUGAGAAGCCUGGGUAAUCUUUUGAACGUUCAUCGUGAUGGGGAUAGAUUAUUGCAAUUAUUAAUCAUCAACGAGGAAUUCCUAGUAAACGCGAGUCAUCAACUCGCAUUGAUUACGUCCCUGCCCUUUGUACACACCGCCCGUCGCUACUACCGAUUGAAUGGCUUAGUGAGCUUUCUGGACUGUUGCGCUUCGUUGGAAACUUCGUUGUGCAUACGGGAAGGAAAUCAAACUUGAUCAUUUAGAGGAAGUAAAAGUCGUAACA